rnacentral:rRNA from 1 species
AUUGAACGCUGGCGGCAGUCCUAACACAUGCAAUUCGAGCGGAUGAAGGGAGCUUGCUCCUGGAUUCAGCGGCGGACGGGUGAGUAAUGCCUAGGAAUCUGCCUGGUAGUGGGGGAUAACGUCCGGAAACGGGCGCUAAUACCGCAUACGUCCUGAGGGAGAAAGUGGGGGAUCUUCGGACCUCACGCUAUCAGAUGAGCCUAGGUCGGAUUAGCUAGUUGGUGGGGUAAAGGCCUACCAAGGCGACGAUCCGUAACUGGUCUGAGAGGAUGAUCAGUCACACUGGAACUGAGACACGGUCCAGACUCCUACGGGAGGCAGCAGUGGGGAGUAUUGGACAAUGGGCGAAAGCCUGAUCCAGACAGGCCGCGUGUGUGAAGAAGGUCUUCGAAUUGUAAAGCACUUUAAGUUGGGAGGAAGGGCAGUAAGUUAAUACCGUGCUGUUUUGACGUUACCAACAGAAUAAGCACCGGCUAACUUCGUG